rnacentral:rRNA from 1 species
UACGUAGGGUGCAAGCGUUAAUCGGAAUUACUGGGCGUAAAGCGUGCGCAGGCGGUUGUGCAAGACAGAUGUGAAAUCCCCGGGCUAAACCUGGGAAUUGCAUUUGUGACUGCACGGCUAGAGUGUGUCAGAGGGGGGUAGAAUUCCACGUGUAGCAGUGAAAUGCGUAGAGAUGUGGAGGAAUACCGAUGGCGAAGGCAGCCCCCUGGGAUAACACUGACGCUCAUGCACGAAAGCGUGGGGAGCAAACAGG